AACGAACGCUGGCGGCAUGCCUAACACAUGCAAGUCGAACGGGAUCCUAGCUUGCUAGGUGAGAGUGGCGGACGGGUGAGUAACACGUGGGAAUCUGCCUUUUGGUUCGGGAUAACCGCGGGAAACUGCGGCUAAUACCGAAUGCCCUCGAGAGAGGAAAGAUUUAUCGCCAGAAGAGGAGCCCGCGUCCGAUUAGGUAGUUGGUGGGGUAAAGCCUACCAAGCCGACGAUCGGUAGCUGGUCUGAGAGGAUGAUCAGCCACACUGGGACUGAGAUACGGCCCAGACUCCUACGGGAGGCAGCAGUGGGGAAUAUUGGACAAUGGGGCAACCCUGAUCCAGCAAUGCCGCGUGAGUGAUGAAGGCCUUAGGGUU
rnacentral:rRNA from 1 species